CCUGAGUGAUCCCUGAGUGACCCCAAUGACCCCUGAGUGACCCCUGAGUGACCCCUGAGUGACCCCUGAGUGACCGUGAUGACCCCUGAGUGACCCUCAGUGACCCCUGAUGACCCCUGAGUGACCCCAAUGACCCCUGAGUGACCCCUGAGUGACCCCUGAGUGACCUUUGA